ensembl:lncRNA
GGAAACAACAAGUAUGCCGGCUCACUGUGCUGCAUACAGUUAGACACUACGUCGUACGAUUGAGACAAGGAAACUUGGAAUGACUUUUCAUAGGUUUCCCAGAGACUAUGGGUUGAGGAGGAAUUGGAAGUUUGUCGGCUUAGACCUGGUGUCAUUCCAUCAGUGUUAAACUUCCCGGCUCAUCUUGGAAGAGUACGUGCCAGAAAGACCACGACCAAUCAGCCUUGAGAUCUUAGGCAGCGUCUCCCUGAGGUCCCUCUCUAUCUCCCCACACAUCCACCAACCACUGGAACACAUCUCCAAAGUUCUGCUGGACCAGCUCAGCUUCCCUUCAGAAGAAGUGCUGCCACCUGCCAGAUGAAGGAGCCUUUUGAGAGGCAGCUGGCAUCGUGAUUGGACUGUACUUUGGUCUGUUCCAAUCCAGCUUCAGCUCCAGAGACGGCAGGCGGGACGAGUCAACGGAGGCCUGGUGGACGAAGGCAUGCAGCUGAGUACAAUCCAGAAAACAACAGAGGAGGAGUGCAGGGCCAGAACAACCAGAGUAGCAUCGUAUGUCUCUUAGAAAACAUCAUAGUAUAGCCUUUGCUAUGAAAAAACACCAUCAUAUACAUCGUAUAUUGUACAAAUAACAAGUCAAAGGAAAGAGACAUACAUUGUAGAAUUGUAGUAAUUGUGGGCUGACUGAUUUACUGAUUGUCAGUAUUUUAUUUUUUACUGAUUUACGGUAAUAAAUAAAUUUAAAAAUGGUGCUACUUUGGCUCUGAAC